GUCAGGAUGGCCGAGUGGUUUAAGGUGCUGGACUCAAGCGUGAGAGGGCGUGGGUUCAAAUCCCACUUCUGACA